GAUGAAGAACGUAGCGAAAUGCGAUACUUGGUGUGAAUUGCAGAAUCCCGUGAACCAUCGAGUCUUUGAACGCAAGUUGCGCCCGAAGCCAUUAGGCCGAGGGCACGCCUGCCUGGGCGUCACACGUCGUUGCCCCCCCAUCUACUCCUUCGGGAUUGCGGGGGGCGGAUGAUGGCCUCCCGUGCGCCUCGCCGCGCGGUUGGCAUAAAUGCCAAGUCCUCGGCGACGCACGCCACGACAAUCGGUGGUUGCGAAACCUCGGUUGCCCGUCGUGUGCGGUCGUCGCGCAUCGAGGGCUCGAAAAAAUUGCCGGGUUCCGGCUCGGCUUUCAACGCGACCCCAGGUCAGGCGGGGUUACCCGCUGAAUUUAAGCAUAUCAAUAAGCGGAGGAU
rnacentral:misc_RNA from 1 species